rnacentral:rRNA from 1 species
AACGAACGCUGGCGGCAGGCCUAACACAUGCAAGUCGAACGCUGUAGCAAUACAGAGUGGCAGACGGGUGAGUAACACGUGGGAAUCUUCCUAUCGGUACGGAAUAGCUCAGGGAAACUUGGGGUAAUACCGCAUACGCCCUUCGGGGGAAAGAUUUAUCGCCGAUAGAUGAGCCCGCGUCUGAUUAGCUAGUUGGUGAGGUAAUGGCUCACCAAGGCGACGAUCAGUAGCUGGUCUGAGAGGAUGACCAGCCACACUGGGACUGAGACACGGCCCAGACUCCUACGGGAGGCAGCAGUGGGGAAUAUUGGACAAUGGGCGCAAGCCUGAUCCAGCCAUGCCGCGUGGGUGACGAAGGUCUUCGGAUUGUAAAGCUCUUUUGGCGGGGACGAUAAUGACGGUACCCGCAGAAUAAGCCCCGGCUAANUUNGUGCCAGCCGCCGCCGUAA